AAGGAGAAGUCGUAACAAGGUUUCCGUAGGUGAACCUGCGGAAUGACCCGCGAACGUGUUUAAAAGAUAGUCGAGUGAAUUUGUGGCUCCGCUCAACAACCAACCCCGGCGCAGUACGCGCCAAGGAAUAGAAAAUGAAAAGGGCGUGCUUUUCUUUCGGAAUGCAUUGCCUUCUUUCAAGAAUCAAAAUGACUCUCGGCAACGGAUAUCCCGGCUCUCGCAUCGAUGAAGAACGCAGCAAAAUGCGAUACUUGGUGUGAAUUGCAGAAUCCCGUGAAUCAUCGAGUUUUUGAACGCAAGUUGCGCCCGAAGCCUUUCGGCCAAGGGCACGCCUGCCUGGGUGUCACGCAUACGUCGCCCCAUCCUCUCGACACCUCGGGAGUCAUGGGAGCAGAAGUUGGCCUCCUGUGUGCCUUGCGCAUGUGGUUGGCCCAAAAUGCAUGUUCGCGGCAAAUGAUAGCCAUGACGAUCGGUGGUUGUAAAGACCCUCUGAAAAAGUCGUGCGCUGUUCUUAGCCGUCGGGACAUUCCUUGACCCUAGGGCGUCCUCAGGGCGCGCUCCGACCGCGACCCCAGGUCAGGCGGGACUACCCGCUGAG
rnacentral:rRNA from 1 species